ensembl:lncRNA
AGCAGCCCUGCAGGACUCUGAUAAAAUAAGCUUUCUCUGACAUGAUGGAAAUGAUGCUUCUGGACACAAAGCCAGAAUUUCAUUCUAAAAAUGUGUUUAUUUGGUCCUGUAAGUACUUAAUAUAAUCCACACAGGCUAAGUAGUUAGUUGCUAAACUGCAAACACCCAUCUCAUUUCAUUUCAGUCCACUUCUGGCCAUCUGAUCCUCUGUAUUCCCAUUACAGUGCCAUGUGUGUAUUAAUGAAGUGACUGCAUCUGAUUACGUCUUUUAUUCAGAGAACAAGAACAGCCCAUCUAUUUUCUUCUCCAGCAUCAUUGUUUCUGUUAUGAUGUCAAUAACUAUGUUAUUCUACUUCGUGUAGAAGUAAAAUGGUCCUUCAGUAAGUGAGAUUAGAUUGAAGAUUGGCAAGAGCAGAUUCAAGGAAAGGAGUAAAGUUACUACCACUGUGGAUAUGUUUUACUCAAAGGUCAUCCUCAUGCACUUACUUCCUGCCCUUGAGGACUGAGUCUACACCAAAGAAACACCUCUAGAUUAACCAUCUGCUGCCAGGCUUCAUUUCUGCAGGAGUUCAUUCCAGUCCCGUGGGGACCAGACUGAUUGAAGUCUUCACUCAACAACCAAGUACUGAGUAAAUUUUCA